rnacentral:snoRNA from 8 species
AUGCACCAGAUACUGACCUGUCUGCCAGCAGCUCAGUUUUUUUCACACUGAUGCCUGCAUGACUGUGGCUGUCAGGUCCAAACCGGUGCAACAAAAAACACAAGACCCUGAGAUUUAAGCCCUGAGAAAGAGGAACUCCUCAGGUGUUAUAACUCAAGGGCACAUCA